rnacentral:rRNA from 1 species
UGGGGAAUCUUGGACAAUGGGCGCAAGCCUGAUCCAGCCAUGCCGCGUGGAUGAUGAAGGCCUUAGGGUUGUAAAAUCCUUUCAGCGGGGACGAUAAUGACGGUACCCGCAGAAGAAGCCCCGGCUAACUUCGUGCCAGCAGCCGCGGUAAUACGAAGGGGGCUAGCGUUGUUCGGAUUUACUGGGCGUAAAGCGCGUGUAGGCGGGUCGUUAAGUUGGGGGUGAAAUCCCGAGGCUCAACCUCGGAACUGCCUUCAAAACUGGCGACCUGGAGCAAGAUAGAGGCAAGUGGAAUUGCGAGUGUAGAGGUGAAAUUCGUAGAUAUUCGCAGGAACACCAGUGGCGAAGGCGACUUGCUGGAUCUUUGCUGACGCUGAGACGCGAAAGCGUGGGGAGCAAACA